GGCAGUGCUUGAUACUAGAAUUUUCCAUAAAUCAGUUGAAGCAGGACUUGCUGAUACACUCGUAACCUGGUUUGACUGAUUUGUUCCUGUCUGGAGGCAAUGCUGUUUAGCUUCUCAAGGAACCUUUGAAAGUCUUACUUAAGGUGACCCAAGAAGAUAUGGAGAGGAACUCAACCUGGAAUGGGGUCAGCAAUCUUCACAACCAUCACCAACACUGCCAGCAGCC